GUGGAUUCACCAGCCCUGGAGGAACUUGCCAGGUCAUACAGAGUGAACUCCCUCCCACCUCUGAUCCGCUGAGGCCUGAUCUGGUGACAGCUCAUUUUGCAGGCAACACAACUGAAGAAAAGCCAGGUUUGCAUUUUCCAAAGAUGGUUGUGACGACAUCCCUCAUCCCACAUGCUUGUCUGCAGUGCUACCGUCAAGAGGCAGAGGCUUCUGUCCCUGCCCUUGAAUGUAAGCCGGCCACAGUGACAUACUUGCAUCCAAUAAUGUGGCGUGGAGGCGGUGACUUCCGAGGUUAGGCCAGGAAGGCCAUGCAGCUUCCUCCAGGUUUUCUCAGAAGACUUGCUUUCCGGACAUCCCUCCUGAGGGGCUCUAUCUCAGAGCUGGCCGCCCUGCUGUGGGAAAUGCAAGUCGCGUGGAAAGGCCACACACGUGUGCUCCUGUUGACAGUCCCAGAGGAGGCUGGCCUGUGUCAUUUCAGCCUUGGUACCAGACAUGUGAGAAAUGAAGCCUCCAGGUGAGUCCAGCUCCCACAGGGGUUUUGUAGCUGAGGCCCCAGGCAUCACGAAACGGAGACACUUCAUCCCUGCUCAGCUCCAUCCGAAUUCCUGACCCACAGCAUCUGUGAGCACAAUAAAAUGGCUGUUGUAGUCCCCUAGGUUUGGGGUGGUUUGUUCCAUAGCAAAGAUAAUCAAAGCAUGUCCGUAAGAGACACUUUCGGAGGAAUCUCAAGGCUGUUAAUCAGCACGUCCCAUUCUCUCUACUUCCACCCCCCUGCCCCACCCCAGGAUCCUUCUAGGGGUGCCCAGCACUAUAUUACACAAUGUGCGCUUUGUAAGAGAAGUACAGGGCUACCACUUGCCCCUCCUUUGUAGGUACUGGAAAAAGAUGCCCAUUCCUCGGGACAGUGCAAUCCAA